rnacentral:rRNA from 1 species
UAAGGAAUAUUGGUCAAUGGACGCAAGUCUGAACCAGCCAUGCCGCGUGAAGGAUGAAGGUCCUCUGGAUUGUAAACUUCUUUUAUCUGGGACGAAAACGGGAUUUUUAUCUCAAUUGACGGUACCAGAGGAAUAAGCACCGGCUAACUCCGUGCCAGCAGCCGCGGUAAUACGGAGGGUGCGAGCGUUAUCCGGAUUUACUGGGUUUAAAGGGUGCGUAGGCGGAUGAAUAAGUCAGUGGUGAAAUCUCCGAGCUUAACUCGGAAACUGCCGUUGAUACUAUUUGUCUUGAAUAUUGUGGAGGUAAGCGGAAUAUGUCAUGUAGCGGUGAAAUGCUUAGAUAUGACAUAGAACACCAAUUGCGAAGGCAGCUUGCUACACAAUCAUUGACGCUGAGGCACGAAAGCGUGGGGACCAAACA